rnacentral:misc_RNA from 1 species
AGCAGCCGCGGUAAUUCCAGCUCCAGUAGCGUAUAUUAAAGUUGUUGCAGUUAAAAAGCUCGUAGUUGAACUUCAGGCCUGUCCAGAUGGUCCGCCUUAAUUGGUGUGUACUGUCCUUGGGUGGGUCCUACCUUCUGGCGAAGCGGCAUGGCCUUAGUUGGUUGUGGUGGGGAACCAGGACUUUUUACUGUGAAAAAAUUAGAGUGUCCAAAGCAGGCAUAAUAUGCUCGAAUACAUUAGCAUGGAAUAAUGGAAUAGGACGAUGGUUCUAUUUUGUUGGUUCUAGGACCGUUGUAAUGAUUAAUAGGGAUAGUUGGGGGGCAUUAGUAUUCAAUUGUCAGAGGUGAAAUUCUUGGAUUUAUUGAAGACUAACUACUGCGAAAGCAUUUGCCAAGGAUGUUUUCAUUAAUCAAGAACGAAAGUUAGGGGAUCGAAGACGAUCAGAUACCGUCGUAGUCUUAACCAUAAACUAUGCCGACUAGGAAUCAGACGAUGUUAAUUUUUUUAAUGACUCGUUUGG